GUAUAUUAAAGUUGUUGCGGUUAAAAAGCUCGUAGUUGGAUUUCUGCGAGGGGCAGCCGGUCCGCUCUAUGAGCGUGUAUCUGGAUUGACCUUUGCAUCCUCUCGAAAAACGUUUCUGCGCUUGAUUGCGUGGUGCGGGGUUCGGGACUUUUACUUUGAGGAAAUUAGAGUGUUCACGGCAGGCGAUCGCCUUGAAUAUAUUAGCAUGGAAUAAUAAUAUAGGAUCUUGGUUCUAUUUUGUUGGUUUCUAGGACUAAGAUAAUGAUUAAUAGGGACAAUUGGGGGCAUUCGUAUUAACACGUCAGAGGUGGAAUUCUUGGAUUGUGUUACGACGAACUACUGCGAAAGCAUUUGCCAAGGAUGUUUUCAUUGAUCAAGAACGAAAGUAAGGGGAUCGAAGACGAUUAGUUACCGUCGUAGUCUUUACCAUAAACUAUGCCAACUAGAGAUGGGGCGUCGUUCAUUUAUGACAUGCUCUGCACCUUAUGAGAAAUCAAAGUCUUUGGGUUCCGGGGGGAGUAUGGUCGCAAGGCUGAAACUUAAAGG
rnacentral:rRNA from 1 species